CUUUGAUGUUUUGAGUUUGUAUUUUGUUGGAAUGAUUAGAUAUAAUUUUACAAUAAGUAAGAGAACUUUUCUUACAGGCUUUUAAUAAUUACGAAGAUGCAAAAAUAGUUCUCUGUAUAGGUACCAACUGUUCCUUCUUUCGUAUCAUUUGGAUUUAUAACCCUUUCUGUUAUUGAGAGAAAGCGGAGACCACCCCAGCGGGGAAAGUCUAGUUAUGCCAGUGGUUUUGUAAAUGUUAGAUUCCACGUAUAAGGAAAGGUUACAGUCAAAAAGAAGUAAAGAAGAGAGAAAGCUACUUUUUCUUCUAAAAUAGACGAAAAGAAACUGUGUAACAUGUAUUCGACGCACUGGCAAUUUCUCCUCAACGCAAUAAAAUGAAAAGAACAGCAAAUCUCCUAUUUCUUUCGUUUCGUUUCCAUAGAAUAAAAUAACUUUUAUCUAAGAUGUCCUGAAGUUCAGCGAACAAAAGACGCAUUGUAUGGAUAGUGGCUCCAUAUUCAGGAAUUCGAAAAAGAACUUUAAAACUUCUAAAAGGGAUUACUCGGAAGUUAAUAGAAAUUCAGAAGAUGCCGUUUUCGCCUCUGCAUCACAUCUCUUAUUUCUUCGCAUUGCAGAAGAAUUGUACAUUAAAGGAAAAGAUUUCUUAACAGGGAAGAAAAUUUGAUUUAUUUUUCGUUACCGCUUUUAUUUGCAUUUAAUUGAACUUUUGCGCAUUUGUCAAAAUAGAAAAUGUUAUUAACUAAAAUAAUAUCAAGAAGUACUUAAAUAAAUUUUUAGGACAAAUAAUGUAGGUAGUCUUAUUCAGAGGAUUUGAAGACCUAUAAUGAGUAUAAUUUCUCCAGAUGCCUUUUUAAAAUUCUUCAUUAGUUUCAGAACUGAAACUGUAAUCGUUACUUCGUUAGAAAUGUAUUUCUUGGGCAGCAAAUAUAUCGAAUUUGAUCACCUAAUAAUAUAAUUAUUCGUCAACUAUUAGCACUUCCUUGAUAAAUUACUACCGUUCCAGAUUUUAUUUAACUGGUUACAAAAAUCAAAGCAAUAUAGAAAUUAAUAAAAAUAAAAGUACACUAAAACUUAGCACUUCUAGUCACACUGAAUCAAUGAAUAAAGUAUCUCAGGGUGACCAUCUACCAUAGACAAACACCUCUGAUCACGUCUAAGGAUAUAAAUAAUUGAUAUUGCUUUCCAAAGUAUACCACUUUCUCUAAUAAUAAAAUUUGUUUAGAGCCGUUGCUGGUCGAACCAGCUAGGUUUCAAUGUACUUUAAAAGGCAAAUCUGAUCCUGGCAAUCAACAACGUCAGGAAGUACAUAUCACGAAAUAUGUUGUAUACCGUAAGACAUCAUCGAUUUCUGGCAGUAAUACGUGCUAAAAGUGUAAGAUAUUUUCGAAAGGUUACAUGGCUGUAUCUUGAAUGAUUCGUUAUAGAGUUAUAAUUAUAUGUUAAGAAAUGGAAAUCAUAACGUAAAGUUUCAUACUACAAAAAUUCUGAUGACAUGGUAACCGUUAGAAUACAAACGUAAAGAGUUUGAAUUCUUAUAUACUUGUGGACAAUUGCUAGGGACGGAUGACAGUAGCAGCGAUAGAAACCACAAAAUGGAAGGCAGGAAAAUAUGGAAAUUAGCAAAAGUGCGGAAAUUAUAAACUGUAAGACGUGUUGUGCGUAUGCAAACUUUUUAUUGCCGAAGUUGUUCGUCACGUGAUGCGCUGAUAAAAGGGAUAAAGGAUCUGACACGUAUUGACCUUUAUUCUUUAAAAGCAAAAUUUAACGGUAAAGAAUCAAUUUAUGAAUUUGAAAUUUUCGAUAUGUCUUAAGGACAUCACUUAGAUGAUUUUAGGAGUGGUUAUAUUAUUGAAAAAAAAUUGAAAGAGGGCAAAAAAUAAUAGAUGUUACUAGGGACUUUGACGUCAGCCACAAUGUUGUUUUAGAUCUUCGGAAAUCAUUUCAAACAAAUGGAAUGUGUAGCAAACCUCACGAGGGAGGAAGUGUUUGCAGUAAGACACCUGCAGAAGAUAAUAGUAUUAUCGACAAAAUAAUCACAGUUUAUUGAGGGGACAGAUCAAUUACUUGCUGCUACUGGCACGCAAAUCUUUCGAAAAACUGUAGACAGACGUUUGCAUCAAGGACUAUACUUUACCCUGAUGUGUGCGUUUUUUGUCUAGACAGAAACGUACGGUCAAUUUGCAAUGGUAUCACGAGCAUCGUAAUUGGACUCAACAGAACAGUGCUAGUGUAAGAUUCUUAGAUGAGAGUAGGUUCAGUCAGUUUCCCGAUUAUAGACACCAUUCGAUUUGGCUUGAAAGUGGUACUGCUUGUCGUCCAGGAAAUACUCAGGAAAGGACCAAUAUCCGAGGUGCAUUCCCAUGAUAUGGGCCCGCACUAUAAUCAAAGGCCUCACGCCCCAUACUUGUGGUUACAACUGGGACAAUGACUGGCCAACGACUCAUUAAUGAUGUUCUGCUGCCUCAAGUUCACGUGUUCCGUAGUGCUGUCAGUGAUAAAUUUGUUUUCGUAGAUGACAACGCAACAUGUCAUCGAAUAGUCGCUGUCCGCUAGGGAGUGAAGCUAUUCAAUGCCUCAUAUCGCCAGCACGUUUACCAGAUCUAAAUCUCAUUGAAAAUGUUUGGGAUGCUUCAGGAGUCUUGCUGGUCGACAAUGCCCUCUAACAAACAAAGACACCCUCAUCUGAAAUUACCCCAACAGCCGUUGGAUAAUGUUGUGCAAAGUAUAAUAUGACUUGUGGAAUCCUACAUCACCCUUCAUGGUGACCAUGUCUCGAAAUGCCCUCUUACACCAAAAUGCCUGUGGCCGGUAAUUGCUCUUUUUUCACUUUACAUAUUCAGCACAAUAUGACCAUUUUGUCUCUUGAACG